AACGUAGGAGACGAACGUUAUCCGGAGUUACUGGGCGUAAAGGGCGUGUAGGCGGCUUGUUAAGUCUGGCGUGAAAGCUCUCGGCUAAACCGGGAGAGGUCGUUGGAUACUGGCGAACUUGAGGAUGGUAGAGGCGUGUGGAAUUCCGGGUGUAGUGGUGAAAUGCUUAGAUAUCAAGAGGAACACCUGCGGCGAAGGCGGGUUGCUGGGCCGACACUGACGCUGAGGCGCGAAAGCUAGGGGAGCGAACGGG
rnacentral:rRNA from 1 species